CCCAAUCUCUCUACCAACAAGCUACAACCCCAGACCCGAAUGUAAUCUUGAAUAUCCUUGGAGAUAUAAUUUCAGGAAACCAAGGCACAGAGAGGAGUAACAAACUGCCAUAAAUCAUCAGCUAAUAAAUGCAACACAAAAUGAACUAGAACAACAAGCAUGUAUGCCAGCGCCUGGUCAUCUCUCACUUCGGGAGCAACAGUCUGGGGACCAGAACAGCCAGAUUGAGCAUGGUUUGGGAUAUCCAACACCAUUCGUUGUUGCUGUCCAUUUGGUGAUGUUGGCCUUCAUGCCCUGGAAAUGCCCGAUGCUGUCUCAAAAACAMGGAGAGGGGGAGCCCUGGAAUAGGAAUCAUCUCUGAAGGAAUGGCAG